AGAGUUUGAUCCUGGCUCAGGAUGAACGCUGGCGGCGUGCUUAACACAUGCAAGUCGAACGGGAAACCUUUUAUUGAAGCUUCGGCAGAUUUAGCUGGUUUCUAGUGGCGGACGGGUGAGUAACGCGUGGGUAACCUGCCUUAUACAGGGGGAUAACAACCAGAAAUGGUUGCUAAUACCGCAUAAGCGCACAGGACCGCAUGGCCCGGUGUGAAAAACUCCGGUGGUAUAAGAUGGACCCGCGUUGGAUUAGCUAGUUGGCAGGGUAACGGCCUACCAAGGCGACGAUCCAUAGCCGGCCUGAGAGGGUGAACGGCCACAUUGGGACUGAGACACGGCCCAGACUCCUACGGGAGGCAGCAGUGGGGAAUAUUGCACAAUGGGGGAAACCCUGAUGCAGCGACGCCGCGUGAAGGAAGAAGUAUCUCGGUAUGUAAACUUCUAUCAGCAGGGAAGAUAGUGACGGUACCUGACUAAGAAGCCCCGGCUAACUACGUGCCAGCAGCCGCGGU
rnacentral:rRNA from 1 species